UGCACAGCUAGCUCAUGGAUCUGAAGAAAACUUCUCCAACAGUGGCUCUUUGUCUUGCAUCAGAACCUUUUGAAGGAUUUGUUUAAAAGGGACUGAAGAGCACCGCCUACAAAAUUACCCAUUCAGUCAAGCCUGGGAGGCAGAGCCUUGAGAAUGGACUAUCAUGUACAUUUCAGGCUACAGGCAACAUUCUUUUGGACAAAGCUGCAGAACCAGCAUGACUAAGCACCAGCAAAAGGUCAGAGCUAAAGGAACAGAUCCAGUAUGGAGUCAGGGAGAUUCUCUACUGACUGAGCUACAAGGGAAGCCCCCUAUAGUGCCUAAGGAAGGAAGCCUAAGGAAGAUGUUAGUCCAGCAAGAUGUAAUGCCCAAGAAGCUACAACUCUAUUUGAGAUGGAGUUACUGAUCUCUGUGCUGUGUAUCCUUGCCUGUGUUUGUGCUGACUUUCUCCUGUCUCCUUUAGACAAUGAAAGCCUGUCUGAUUUUCCAAAGUGUAGUCUUUCCACCACUCCUAGAAGUACAACUGACGUUUGUCAAUACCGCAGCCCUAAAGGGUCACCAGCAAGAAGACUUGCAUGGGGAGGACACAAUCUCCAGGACCUGAAAGUUGUUUAAUCAGGACUAUAAGUUGCCUUCUCUUUAAGACAUUUAUAACUCAGUAUGCCAAAUGAAUAACUUUGUUAUCUGACUGGUCAGGCUGGGGAAAGAUCCCUCAAAAGAUUAGAUUGUUCUAUGCUGUGUCCCCUGUCAUAAAUUACAGAUCCUCUCCCUGUGUUUUACAAUAGUCGAAAGAAAGUCUCUUGAGUCAAAUUACUUUGGCUAUAGAUAUUAUCUCAGUCUUUCAAGAGCAUAAUACUUAGACUCAAGGCUUGUUAAUGCCUUAACUUAAAAAACAUGUUUUGGAAAAGUGCAUGACAUCAUUAGCAAGUCUAUAGUAAGAAAUUUCUAAAAAAUAAAGAUGCCUAUUAUUCAUUUAAGAGAUAAAUGAGGUCAUUGAUU